rnacentral:rRNA from 1 species
CAGCAGCAGCCGCGGGAAUACAGAGGGUGCGAGCGUUAAUCGGAUUUACUGGGCGUAAAGCGUGCGUAGGCGGCUUCUUAAGUCGGAUGUGAAAUCCCUGAGCUUAACUUAGGAAUUGCAUUCGAUACUGGGAAGCUAGAGUAUGGGAGAGGAUGGUAGAAUUCCAGGUGUAGCGGUGAAAUGCGUAGAGAUCUGGAGGAAUACCGAUGGCGAAGGCAGCCAUCUGGCCUAAUACUGACGCUGAGGUACGAAAGCAUGGGGAGCAAACAGGAUUAGAUACCCCGGUAGUCCCUGUUUCUUAUAC